UUGACUUUUUAUCCCUUUUAUAAAUGCUAAUGCAACAGUCAUUGUUUUCUUCUUGAUGCUUCUAGAUUAAAGCUUGGAAAUGGCUUUCAGUAUGUGUUGAAUGCUGAGGGUUCUACACCCGCUCAAGUUAUGGGAAUUGACUACAAAUCUACAUUUAAGCCAGGACUUGAAUCCUUUGCUGAUGAUAUAAAGAGACGCUCUUUGGCAAAACUGGAAGAGUCAAUGAAUCAUCGGAAUUGACUGCUAGGAUUGAGGGCAAAAAAAAUCGUGCCACUGUGCUUCAAUCUCAUAUUGAUGAAGUGGAAGCUCAAAUUAACUCUCUGAGGAAAGAAACAGAGGAUUACACUAAUAGAUAUGCAGCAGAAGCUAAAAAGCUGGUGCAUGAUGUUCAAAUGGAGACGCAUAACUUGGAUAUUUUGGAAAGAGAAGCAGCAGAGAUUCUGAAGGUACGGCCUCAUGAUUCACAUAUUUCUUUAAACAGUUAACAAUGUUGGUGUUGCCAAGUAUUCAGAAAUACAAUCGAAAAUAACUUCUACAAGUAAAUGGAUAAGUUAAGCAAAUCCCAUCUCUUAUCCAUGGGAUUAUUUUGCUGUCCUCUGCAAUAUUCUUGAUUGAUGAGAAUGUGGAAUCCAAGGAACAUAUGGAAUCCAAAAUUUCAGGGAUGAGGAGCAAGCUCUCAGAAACUGCUGUUGCUGUUUCUGCAGCUUACAAGCAUUCAUUGCUUGCACAAUUUGGUAUAAGCCUUGAUGCUAUUCACUAAUCUUUAUUAAGAGAAGAAAAGUUAAAUAGGAAGAAGCUGCAGCUAAGGUAUACAACCCAAGUAAUGGCUUGUUCUUCCCUUUUAUGUGUGCUGAAGAAUGUGAUUGCAGCUCUCGACCGUACCUCUCUAACCAUAAUAAAGGACUUGUUUUUUACA